GAUGAACGCUGGCGGCGUGCCUAAUACAUGCAAGUCGAGCGAACAGACGAGGAGCUUGCUCCUCUGACGUUAGCGGCGGACGGGUGAGUAACACGUGGAUAACCUACCUAUAAGACUGGGAUAACUUCGGGAAACCGGAGCUAAUACCGGAUAAUAUAUUGAACCGCAUGGUUCAAUAGUGAAAGACGGUUUUGCUGUCACUUAUAGAUGGAUCCGCGCCGCAUUAGCUAGUUGGUAAGGUAAAGGCUUUCCAAGGCAACGAGGCGUAGCCGACCUGUGAGGGUGAUCGCCCACACGGGAACGUAGACACGGUCCAGACUCCUACGGGAGGCAGCAGUAGGGAAUCUUCCGCAAUGGGCGAAAGCUUGACGGAGCAACGCCGCGUGAGUGAUGAAGGUCUUCGGAUCGUAAAACUCUGUUAUUAGGGAAGAACAAAUGUGUAAGUAACUAUGCACGUCUUGACGGUACCUAAUCAGAAAGCCACGGCUAACUACGUG
rnacentral:rRNA from 1 species